rnacentral:rRNA from 1 species
UACGAAGGGUGCAAGCGUUACUCGGAAUUACUGGGCGUAAAGCGUGCGUAGGUGGUGAGUUAAGUCUGUCGUGAAAGCCCCGGGCUUAACCUGGGAAUGGCAUUUGGGACUGCAAGGCUUGAGUGCGGCAGAGGAGACUGGAAUUCCUGGUGUAGCAGUGAAAUGCGUAGAUAUCAGGAGGAAUACCGAUGGCGAAGGCAGGUCUCUGGGCUGACACUGACGCUCAUGCACGAAAGCGUGGGGAGCAACAGG